UUUUGUUAAAAAGCGAUUUGUUUAGAUAAAAUAAAUCAUGUGAAUACAUUAAUUAGAAAGUGGAUAGGUGGGAAAACGAAAUAUCGGGCAGAUAUGGGGGUGAAAAAGCGAAGCAUCAAGGAGUGGGAAGGGAGGUGAAGGAUGAAUUGCCACGUGACAAACUUCAUGAAAAAUAAUAUAUAGAUAUAGAUAUAGAAGAAGAUAUAGAUACAGAUAUAGAUAUAUCUUUUUCUAAGUUUGCACACUAAUUAA
rnacentral:lncRNA from 1 species